rnacentral:rRNA from 1 species
UACGAAGGGUGCGAGCGUUAAUCGGUAUUACUGGGCGUAAAGCGUGCGCAGGCGGUGAUGUAAGACAGAUGUGAAAUCCCCGGGCUCAACCUGGGAACUGCAUUUGUGACUGCAUCGCUGGAGUGCGGCAGAGGGGGAUGGAAUUCCGCGUGUAGCAGUGAAAUGCGUAGAUAUGCGGAGGAACACCGAUGGCGAAGGCAAUCCCCUGGGCCUGCACUGACGCUCAUGCACGAAAGCGUGGGGAGCAAACAGG